GGCUCCCAAAAGUUAUUCCGAUAGAUAAUGACAAGGCAAAAGAUUUUGUUACCACAGCAUAGAAAGAUUUGGAUUGCUUUUUUUUUUUUUUCAGAUAGAGAAAAGCAAGAGGCAAAAAUAACUGAAAAUGACAUAACAUAAAAUCACUUAUAGCUGGCUAUGGAAUUCUGAGCAAGCCAAAUAGAUAAACACACAGCCAAAGAUGUCUUCUGUUCCUAGUCUAGACUCCAUUUAGACUCAUUUAUAGAAAGGAAAAUUAGUAAAAGCCUGGAAGACUUGGUUGCAAGUUCUGAUUGUGUGAUUUCUGAGUGUUUGAUCCUGAGCAACUCAUUGAAUUUCUUAGAGCUUCCACUUUCCCAUAUAAGGUGUGUGUGAGGAAAAAUAGCUCCACCCACCUUCCCAGCAUCCACUAUGGCCCGGAAUUUCCUAAGGACCACAUAAAUUCUGUUGUCAAUGUAGGCUUCACUUCUGGCUUCAAGCUAAACGUCUCCUGCACCCUGAUGUCAUUCUGAACAUAAUUCAGUGUGUUCUGAGAGUGCGCCAUUGCUAAGGAGGGAGGAGCUAGAUCAACUUAAAAGGCUACAUCCGGAACAAGGAAGGGCUGUGACUCCCAGGACAGAGAGAGAGCAGUUGCAGGAGGUCCUUGCUGGGAGGAAAAGACAGUCUCAGAGACGUCAAGUGACUUGCUUAGGAUCACCCAGGUGGGAAGUGUUAAAAGGAAGAUCUGCAGCCAUAUCCUCUAACUCUCUCAGAGCUCUUCAUACCACCAUGCUGUUUUCAUAGGGGCACUGUGAUCAUCAUCAUCAUCCUUAUCAACAUUCACAUAAUUUGUGUUAAGUGCUGGCAAAACAAAGGCUUAAACAAGCUGCUCUGCUUUCAAAAAAAAGUUUGAAAAAAUCCUUUAUAUGUUUGGUUCCAUUUUAAUCUCAAAAGAUCUGUAUGAGGGAAGUAUUGCAGGUCCUACUAGGCCCAUUUUAUCCACAGUGAAACUGAGGCUGAGAGAGAUGAACUGACUUAUG
rnacentral:lncRNA from 1 species